rnacentral:rRNA from 1 species
AUUGAACGCUGGCGGCAGGCUUAACACAUGCAAGUCGAGCGGAGAUGAGGUGCUUGCACCUUAUCUUAGCGGCGGACGGGUGAGUAAUGCUUAGGAAUCUGCCUAUUAGUGGGGGACAACAUUCCGAAAGGAAUGCUAAUACCGCAUACGUCCUACGGGAGAAAGCAGGGGAUCUUCGGACCUUGCGCUAAUAGAUGAGCCUAAGUCGGAUUAGCGAGUUGGUGGGGUAAAGGCCUACCAAGGCGACGAUCUGUAGCGGGUCUGAGAGGAUGAUCCGCCACACUGGGACUGAGACGCGGCCCAGACUCCUACGGGAGGCAGCAGUGGGGAAUAUUGGACAAUGGGGGAAACCCUGAUCCAGCCAUGCCGCGUGUGUGAAGAAGGCCUUAUGGUUGUAAAGCACUUUAAGCGAGGAGGAGGCUACUGAGACUAAUACUCUUGGAUAGUGGACGUUACUCGCAGAAUAAGCACCGGCUAACUCUGUGCCAGCAGCCGCCGUAA